GGCGCUACGUCCCGGCCUGACUUGCUCCCUGGAACGGUGGCAGCGCCUGGGAACGCAGACCCGGCCCCAGCUGGCCCGCGCCUUCCUCGAGGCCCCGGCCAGCAGCGACCCCGACCGCCGCCCUCUGCUGCUGCUGGAGAGGCACCGGGGUGACCUUGGCCCUUCUUCUGGAAGACCCCGCCGCUUCCCUCGGCUGCCGGACCGGGACUCUGGGCCUCUGCUGGGAACUCACAGUCGACACCAGGAUGCCCAGAGCCAGGACACACUCCUCAUCUUCUGGGAUCAGAAGAGACCCGCGCGGGCCUGAGUUAGGCCUGGGCUUUCCCGGGUUCCCUGGAUCUCCACCAGCCUGUGCCUUUGAGUGUCAGAGUACGUUUUUUGGCAAAGGACAACUCCUGACGCUCCCUCUCCCUCUUCCAUACACAAAGCAUGCGUUUUCCACAGGUCUGAUGUGCUGUGGACAUCUAAUAGCUAUUACAAAAUGGAGAAUCAUGGGUUUUUCCCCUUGGGCUUUGAGUUUACUAGUGAAAGCAUAGUUCGAAAUGAAUACUUAAAAAGAAAUCCCUCCUUCCACCCUAAGAUCAAUGGAUUUGAAAAGUGCCUGGUUUAUAUGAUCAAAACCACCCCUCUGUAAAUUACAAGCAAUAAGGAAAACAAUUUCACUUUAUUUUGCAGUAACGCAUUCCCACUAAGGCAAUUAAGAAAGUCAUGCACAAUGAAAAACAUGUGAAAGCAGCUCCAGCCUGGUUCAAACAUCACCAUGGGAUGGAGUUUGGUGUCUCAUCUUCCAGCUCUUUCCCAGUUCUCUGACCAGGCACUAAGAACAUAAUUUGUGAUCCUUUGAAAUAUCACCAAAGUGGAAAUUAAGAGAUCUGAUGAGGACAUCUGAUUCACCUGGCAGCUGGGUAUCUGCCUCUUUGCCUAUCCAGAGAGCCUAAUUCCCAAGAAGGGGCUGAGAGGGCCUAAGGUAGUCGAGACAUAAUGGGAUUUACCAGGAACACAACAUAGAAGAGAAAAGCCAAGGGAAGUUGGGGGUGGAGUGAGGGCCCCUGAGCUCAGCAAACCUCUUUUCCACUGUAGCCCUUAGUGGUGUUAAUAUUUAAUAUGCAAACUUAAAGGUUUCAUGCUGAUUUUCCUGUGAAUGGCUCUUGACUCCAGACCCAGAUAGCCACAGAGCAAGAUGACAAGCUCGCUAAUAAGCUCUGUUGGGGAGGUCUCAGCCCAGGCCAGAGCUGUGAAGUGAGAAAUAACAAGUCCAGUUUAAAUAGUGCUGCUGGGAUGGACUUUUGUGGCCAGGGAAGGGGUACCCAGGAGCCAGUGUGGCCACUGACCCAGCCUCAUCAAUGGCCCUAGGAUCCAGAAUGCCACAAACAAUGGAGCAAGAAUCAGAUCUGUGUGUCUGGGCUGGAAUGCAAUGGUGUGAUCUUGGCUCACUGCGACCUCCACCUCCUGGGUUCAAGCGAUUCUCCUGCUUCUGCCUCCCGAGUAGCUGGGAUUACAGACAAAGAAUUCAAGACUAAGCUGGGCAUGGUGGCACGCACCUGUAGUCUCAGCUACUUGGGAGGCUGAGGCAGGAGAAUCACAUGAACCUGGCAGGCUGAGGUUGCAGUGAGCCGAGAUUGCGCCACUGCACUCCAGCCUGGCCACAGAGCAAGACUCCAUCUCAAAAAAAAAAAAAAAAAGAAGAAGUCAAGACUAAGAAGAGUGAAGUAUGAAGUAAUUCACCCACAGACACCCAGCUAGUGAGUGGCAGACCUGGAAGACAAACUAGUUCUGUUUGGCAUCAGAAUCUAUGCUGUCAGCCAUCUCACCACAUUCAUGUGACAUCCAACAAAGUGGUCCUUCACCUGCUACUAAGUCUUGCUAGGGCUAGUUCCAGAGCCAAGACUAUGAAGUGGACAAUGAUCUAUGAAGCGCUAAGUGAACAGAUGUCAUGUAAAUAGCUUGGAUCUCUACGUGCAUGUGUGCAUUGUAUAUGUUUACCAAAGACCUUGUUACAGUGUUUUUAGGCAUGGCUCACUUUAUAAAGGUUGUCACAGUUGGCCAAGCUAUCUGGUAUUUAUUACUCAUUUGAUACUCACACCUGCUCAAUGAUGCUGGUAUCGUUACUCUCCAUAAUGAUUCUCCCAUCAUUUUACAGAUGGGGUUCAGAAAGAUCAGGUGGUAGAUCCAUAGUCACACUCUAGUUAAUUGAUAGGACUGAGAAUUCAAUGCAUGCCCACUGCCUUCUCUUACAAGUCUUGGGGUAUUUGAGUGUAAUUCAAUAAUGACAACCCCUUCACUGUCCAAAAGGGGUGAAUGGAACAUCAAGCUGUCACAAAGGCUAGGUUGGAGGGCAUGGCUUAUAUCCUUGGGUAAGUAGGCUUACUAAACUUAAACCCUAAAGUUGAACUGACUUAACUACCCAGUCCCAGCAGCUGGAGUGGGACAGGACACUGGGUCUAUAUGGAGAGGGGUCUGCCCAGAUUAGCUUUAGGACGUGGAGAAGCAGAGAACUCAUGUUCCUACAAACAGGUUCACUCUCAAGAUAAAGACAAGGAACCAAACUCAGCCUGCCUGCUUCAUUUUUUCAUAUUUGCCAAUCAGAUAAGUCACUUCCGCCCCCAGAGAGAUUUAAUAAAGGAGCAGAGAAAGACUUCUAAUAAAAUUCCCUCCAUAUGGAAGGAAAAGGAGACAUCGGGAGUUACGUUAAUCAUGCUCAUUUCUUAACAGUGCAAAUAUCAAGAGUUAGAAAUUAGAGUUCCUGGCUGGGUGCGGUGCCUCACUCCUGUAAUCCUAGCACUUUGGAAGGCCAAGGCAGGCGGAUUGCCGGAGCUCAGGAGUUCGAGACCAGCCUGGGCAACACGGUGAAACCUUGUCUCUACUAAAAUACAGAAAAAUAGCCAGGCGUGGCAGCGUGCACCUGUAAUCCCAGCUACUCGGGAGGCUAAGGCAGGAGAAUUGCUUGAACAAGGGAGCCAGAGGUUGCAGUGAGCCGAGAUUGCACCACUGCACUCCAACCUGGGUGACAGAGCGAGACUC